ACUAGUUGUAGACUCGGCCACGGCCAUGGGUCUCGCAGCGAUUAGCCGAAAUGUAUCGCCGCCCGUUGAAAACUGCACACAUUUUUCUUAAGCAUUUUUUAAAAGUGGAAUAUUGACGAUUUUUCAUUAUUUACUCAAUUAAUUUCUUCUAAAAUCAAAUAUAUCA
ensembl:ncRNA R53.9 ncRNA